rnacentral:rRNA from 1 species
GUCUAUGGCCAUACCACCCUGAACGCGCCCGAUCUCGUCUGAUCUCGGAAGCUAAGCAGGGUCGGGCCUGGUUAGUACUUGGAUGGGAGAAGUCUGCUGCUAAUCUCGGUCUUUCAUCAGAUC